rnacentral:rRNA from 1 species
UACGGAGGGGGCUAGCGUUGUUCGGAAUUACUGGGCGUAAAGCGCACGUAGGCGGCUGUUUAAGUCAGAGGUGAAAGCCUGGAGCUCAACUCCAGAAUUGCCUUUGAGACUGGAUAGCUCGAACGUCGGAGAGGUGAGUGGAAUUCCGAGUGUAGAGGUGAAAUUCGUAGAUAUUCGGAAGAACACCAGUGGCGAAGGCGGCUCACUGGACGACUGUUGACGCUGAGGUGCGAAAGCGUGGGGAGCAAACAGG